rnacentral:tRNA from 1 species
ACUCUUUUAGUAUAACUAAUACAAAUGACUUCCACUCAUUAAAUCUUAGCCCCAACUAAGAAAGAGUA